rnacentral:rRNA from 1 species
AGUUUGAUCCUGGCUCAGGAUGAACGCUGGCGGCGUGCCUAACGCAUGUCAGUCGAACGGGAUAAGAGUUGCUUGCAUUUCUUAUCUUGUGGCGGACGGGUGAAUCACGCAUGGAUUAUCUGACCUACACUUGGGGAUAACAGCCGGAAACUGCUGCUAAUACCGCUUAGACUGAGCUCUCGCAUGAGAGAACAGGGAAAGAUUUAUCGGUGUAGGAUGAAUCCCCGUCCGAUUAUCUAGUUGGAGGGGUAACCGCCCACCAAGGCCACGAUCGGUAGCCGGCCUGACAGGGCGACCGGCCACAUUGGGACUGAGAUACGGCCCACACUCCUACGGGAGGCAACAACGGGGAAUAUUGCGCAAUGGGGGAAACCCUGACACCGCCUCGCCUCGUGCGGGAUGACGGCCUUCCGGUUGUAAACCGCUUUCUUCACGGAACAACAUCUACGGUACCUGCAUAAGAAGCCCCGGCUAACUACCUGCCAUCAGCCGCAGUAAUACGCAUGGGGCGAGCGUCAUCCGGAUUCAUUGGUCGUAAAGCACGCGCAGGCGGGUGCCGAAGCGGGACCUCCUAACCCUCGGGGCUCAACCCCGAGCCGGGUCCCUAACUGGGCGCCCUCAUAUGCGGUAGGGGAGAUCGGAAUUCACCGGUGUAGCGGGUGGAAUGCGCAGAUAUCGGGAAGCACCCCGAUGGAGAAGGCAGAUCUGUUGGCCGCCACUGACGGUGAGGCGCGAAAGCUAGGGGAGCGCACAGGAUUAGACACCCUGGUAGUCACUAGCCGUAAACGAUGGGCGCUAGGUGUGGGGAGCGAUUGCUCUCCGUGCUGCAGCUAACGCCAUUAAGCGCCCUGCGUGGGGAGUACGGCCGCAAGGCUACAAUUCAUAAGGAAUUGACGUGGGCCCGCACAAGCAGCGGAGCGUGUGGCUUAAUUUGAAGCAACGCGAAGAACCUUACCAGGGCUUGACAUGGCAGUGAAGCGGCGGAAACUCCGUGGCCGAAAGGAGCUGCCACAGGUGGUGCAUGGCUGUCGUCAGCUCCGUGUCGUGAGAUGUUAUGUUAAGUCCUGCAACGAGCGCAACCCUUGUCCCAUGUUCCCAGCAUUGAGUUGGGGACUCAUGGGAGACGACCGGUGUCAAGCCGGAUGAAGGUGGGGAAGACGUCAAGUCAUCAUUCCCCUUAUGCCAUGGGCUUCACAUGUGCUACAAUGUCCGGCACAGCGGGCCGGGUUUGCGCGAGCAGGAUCGAAUCCCCCAAAGCCGGUCCCAGUUCGUAUUGCAGGCUGCAACCCCCCUGUGUGAAGCCGGAGUCGGUAGUAAUCGCGGAUCAGCAUGCCGCGGUGAAUACGUUCCCGGCCAUUGUACACACCGCCC